rnacentral:lncRNA from 1 species
UUUUAUUAUGAAAAAUAUUUGAAGUUUUAAUUGUGAAAAAUAGUUUAAUUUUAUUAUGAAAAUAAGUAUGAUUUAUGUUAAAAAAUAAAAUAGAGUUUUGACUAUUUAUUAUUCAUAUUGAUAAUAAAAAAUUAAUAAAAUUAAAAUCAACAAUUAAUGAAAAGAAAUCAAGAAUUAAAAAUUAAAGCAAAUGAGUACAAGCAUAAAUGGGGGAAUGCUGCUAAGUAAAAAAAAGACAAAAUGGGCUUAAGGCCCAAACUAAAAAAAACAAAAGUAAAUGGAAGGGGGUGUUGCAGCAAGGUGGGGUGCAUGGCCUAAGGGGCCAAUGCCCAAUCCACUUUGGUAGAAAAGCAAACAAACAUACAAAAAAUGAAGGGGAAGGAUCUAGAGGUGUUGGGCCAUAUGAUGGAGAUCAAAUGGCUACGACUUUGCAACAAUACAUUACUAUCCAGUCCGCAUGAUCAUUAUCAUGUAGUAAUCAUACUAGGGUCCACGGUAGACACCAUUAGGGGGCAUGUACAUGAUUGCUCCAAAUUGUAAGCAUAGCCCCAAAAGUCUCAUAACACGUUGCACUUAAAAAAAAUAAAAAAAAUAAAACCAAGAGAAAAGCAAGUCAGUUAAGAAAAAAAUUAUUUUUCAUCUCUCUUCUUCUUUCCAUAUUUUCCUCUCUUUCUCUCACUCUAUUCUUCCUCAAAAUUUUCCAAACUCAAUUUCUAAAUUCAAAUUAAACAAAAUCUACUCAAUCACUCUUCUUCUCUCACUUUUAAUUUCAACCUUAACAAACUGAACCAAACAAAGUCCAAACUCAAACGUGAAAGUAAAAAAGGAAGGCAAAAGCUACCAGAAUGAAUAUGAUGGAUUCCGUGAGAGGUGACCAGUGUCAUGGAGAAGAAGGUGGCACGAAGGUGCUAGUGGUAAAGUCCGGUUGCGAUUGGACGGGGAGAGUGGCGCAAUUCCGAUGGUGGGUGACAUAUUUAAGGGUUUGUGGAGGUCGGAGAUGGAAGCGUGACGGCAUAUCUGCUCUGUUUUGGUUGAUUUGAUUCCACUCUUUCUAUUUUUCACUUUCUUUGGUUUGCCUUAAUUUUUAGUUUAUGCCAUGGUGUUAAAUUGAAUAUUGUUGUUAUGGUUGUUUUUUUAAUGGUCAUUUUGGUGUUGAUGAAGGAAUGGAAGAAGAUGAUAAGGUUAUGUUGUUGUUGAAUGUGGUAUUGAUGAGUGAAUGGUUUAAGGUUUGUGUAUGGUUGAAUGAUGAUAGUGAUAGGUUAGUGAUUUUGAUGUUGUUAAUGGUGUUAUGUAAAUAUGGUUAUAUAGGGACAAUGUGAUGCUAGAAAAUGGUUUUAUUAUGUUAGUUUUUUGUGAAAUGAAGAUAGAGUGAAAGUGUUAUUGUUGGUUUACAUUGUUAUAAUGGUGAUGUGAAAUAUGAUGAAGGUUGAGUAGAGAAGGUGGUUGAUGGUGAAUAGAUGAUGUUGUGUGUGCUUUUUGCGUCCCAUCCCCCAUGUGUGCUGAGAUUUUGUUUUUUUACAGACUAGAAUUAGGUCUAAGGUUUAAUUAGAUCUAAAAAGAAAAUAAUUAUAAUAUUAAAUGAAAUAAAAAAUAAUCAUGUCCUUUAUUAUUAAUACAAAAAUAAAAUAUUUUCCUGAUUUUUUAU